rnacentral:misc_RNA from 1 species
AAGUGAACCGUUGGCCGCAGAUCGGCGCCCGGCGCGCCGUAGGCGCUGACCAAGUAGCUGCCGUCAAUUUUCGGCGUACGGAUUUCCGAGGUCUCCGACUCGAAUUCCGGAUCGCGCGUCAGGACGAAGUAUUCCACUUCCUUAUUGCGGCGUUCCUCUUCGGGCAGGUUGCGGUCCUUGCACUCCCGGCUAUAGAACAAAGCCCCUUGGAGGAGGCCGGGCCCCUGCGCGGCGCCGGCCAUUUCGGGGAGAGUGAUGG